GGUGUCGUGGUGUAGUUGGUUAUCAUGUUAGUCUAACACACUAAGGUCUCUUGUUCGAGUAUGGGCAACGCCA
rnacentral:tRNA from 1 species